AUCGCUUCUCGGCCUUUUGGCUAAGAUCAAGUGUAGAAACAGUAGUUUCAAUAGUGAAUUAAUGUUUGUCAUGUGGUUGAGUCAGGGAAAGGACUUUCAAGGUGAAGGGACAACAUCAGUGAUAAUAUAAAGCAUGACAUUAUAGAAAAAUUGCAUGUCA
rnacentral:snRNA from 1 species